GUUGAGAAGAGUCAGAGAAUGCACAUACUCACAAAUAAGGAAGGCCAACAUUUUUGCCUUCCUGACCUCCUUGCAAUCCUGCCAGGACACAUCAUAAGACAAGAAAGAGAAAAUCUGAAACCUGUCAUGGAUUAUUUGGCUAAGGCGUAUCAACUGCCACAACAACGGGUAUAGAAGAAAGGAAGCGUGAUGGAAGGAAAGGACUGGAUGAAUCAGAAAUCUGCAUUAGGGGAAAAUGCUGGAGGAUGUCUGGCCUGGGAUUCAUGAGAGAGCCAGAGUGAGCAAGACACGUUUUGAAGUACACUUGCUCCUGUAUGCCAAUAUUCUCAUCUUCCUGUGAGAGAUCUAUUCAGGUUUGGAUCUACUUUACCUAAGUUAUAAAUUCAAGUCUCUGAUGAUUAUUCUAUCCAUUUUCAUCUUUUAGGUCUAACCUCGGUUUUGUUGUAAUACUUGCCAUUCUUUCCUUUUUGACAAGUAUA
ensembl:lncRNA